ACUGGUGGUUGCACAAAUAUACGUGGAUGUGGCACCGUUACCAACGGUGUGACUAACUUAACACGAUCACAACAUAUUCAUUUGAGCUCACGUGUGAGCCCACUGCGCGCGUCGGUCUCAUUUACAUCAUAUUCGAAUUGUUUUUCGAGUCAAUUAGAACGAUUCGAGGUGACCAAUGCGCUGAGUAGAAAUGAUUAUUUGUAGUGAGAGAAUGUCUGGUGUUUUGUCUUCAGAUGGGGGAUGUUUCACGUAACGAGUGGUUUGAGGGACGAAUGGCCGUCAUGUGGCCGGCGGGGAGGGGGAAGAGUGUGGACGAAGAAAUACCUCAGGCCAACAGUUACGGCGUACCUCUGCUUUCGGUAAAAUUUCAAUGAUACUGCGGCUGGAUGAGGGAGGGUGAUUGUGCACGGGAAUAGAUAUGUGUCGAAAUAUUCGCAUCUCGACGACACGACGGUUCGGGGGCGACUGGCGCGGCACCGUUCACACUGACGAUGAGCAUACCGUCCGCCUCCUGGUCCUUCCUGCAUUCCGGCGCAGACGCCUCCCCAAAACAAAUCACGCGGAUCUAGUCAAUCUCUUUUCCUGGCACACGUGAAUUAUCACAUGUUUGCGAUAAUUUGAUACUGGAGCAAGCCACCCAUACCAAACCAACUUAAUUAGAAGGAAGUUGUGGAGGUAACCGAGGUUAACUUGUUGCGAAGCUCGACUUCUACGAUUUAUGGGAACGGUUUGGAAUUAAGAAACUGCGAGGGAUUAGAUCCACAAUGGUCCUUCUCAAUCUUUGUCUGGACCGGGUCUCAAUUUGAUUUUCGUCUCACACGAUUUCUCCGUCAAAUAUCAAAAGUCAAGAGGUGGUGAUUCAAUUGACGAAGGGAGGGUCAUAAAACGGAGGGUGACGGCAGCCGACAUUCAGCCGAAGGACAAAUUUGUUUUAUAAAUAAAGGGAAUAUUCGAGGACUGAUCGAUAACGAACGAAUCCGAUGGUACCUUCCAAUGGACACUCAAUUCGUAGGAGAGAUAAAUACGUUACGUGCCGUAUAUGCUGUCGUCAGCCGCCAGUCAAUGGACAUAUCCUUGAUAAGAUUGCUAUUAAUGAGUAAAUCUUGAGAUUAUGGUGUGGACUUAUUUUGAUGGACAGCCAGAUCGAGAGAAUUAUCUGAAUACAAAGUUGACAUGACAUCCAGUCGUGUCUAGUACUAAUUCGUAAGUGAAGUGAGGGAGCCUUACAAAUAUUUCUGAGGGAUAUAGAGGGAUGAUCACGUGACUGUUAAUAAAUGGGAGGUGGAGUAGAGAGAGGACGUUUGCAUCUGAGGAUCAGGAAGGGCCUUAAAGAUUAGCGUGAUUGGGAAUGUUUACACGGAUUUAUCUGCGAGGAAAAUAUUCUGAAUGAGAGU